ACCCUUGUAGAUUAAUGGUAAAUCACCCAUGAACACUUUGGAUUGUGCAGAAACGUGCAGUGGGAGACGGGGGUUCGAAUCCUCCCGAGGGUA